ensembl:snRNA U2 U2 spliceosomal RNA
ACUGUUUCUUAGCAUUUUGGCUAAAAAAAAGUAUAGUGUCUGUUAUCAGUACAAUAUCCAAUGUAGCCUCUAUCCAAGGACAGUAUGUUACAUGAAUUUUUGGAGCUAAGAGAUGGAAUAGGAACAGUUUCUGUCCACGCCAUACAUUGACCUGGUAUUUCAGUUCCUCCAGGAACAGUGCACCACCU